GUAUAAAAUAGCCUGGCAUAUCGAGAUGCACAGGCUUGUUUUUGUAUGAUUUAAUCCCAUUUUAUUUGGCAUAUCUUGGUUUAAUAAUCCCGGACACAACCUAGAGGCGUGUGGCUGUAACCUGUUUCAGCCUCUUUCUUCUUAUCUCUCCCCAAUCCACAUAACCUGGUAAGGGUUCUGGCCACCGGUUGUGACAGUACCAGGCUCGCGUUGGUGCUCAUAGUGAGCCGAUUUUCGCACUGACCCCAGAGCGCGGGCGCGCUUUUGUUCGCAUGCGCGUCCCCGCUGAGCGCCCAUUCCUCAUAUUUCUCUAAUCCCCCCCACCCCCAAUCCAGGUUUGAUUCCCACCAGCAGAUCGCACCUCUAUUUAACCAGGGUUUAGAGUCCCGCAAUCAACCGCCGAAGUCCAUUACAUUACUGAUCUACAACACAGGUGUCUCUCUGAUUGAUUGUGUGGCAUCUAAAUGACAGCUCCUACAAAGGAUCAGAACGCUGCGGCUCUGAACCCGAGAGGCUUUGAUUCCACGCCGGGUGUUAAAUAGCCUUAUCACGGAAGUACCAAAAGAUUCACAACCUGAUGUUUGGAGACCGAGCUAUACAGCUGAACAAUACUCCUGAGCAAAAGCAGACCAUCUUUUGACACCAGAGAAAAGCAGAGACCACAGCACAAGAUGAUAAGACCACUUAUUCUGGUCAGAGUUGCCGUGGACCUGGAGCCUAUCCUGGGAACACUGCGCAAGAGGCAGACAUACACCAUGGCUGGGAUACCAGUUCCUCACUUUGUACCCCACACACACCGGAGUACACACAUUUGCCCAUAUUUUGACUAACCAAUAUACCUACCAGUAUGUCUUUUAAAAGGAAGGGAGGAAACCUGAAAAACUAGAGGAAACCCAUGCAGACAAUUGGGAGAACAUGUGAAACUCCACUCAGAUAAUAACCUGAUCUCAGGAUUGAACCAGGGACUGUGGAACCACCUGUGAGGUGCCAAUGCCUUCUGCA